AGAAUCAACGCUGGCGGCGUGCCUAACACAUGCAAGUCGCACGAGAAAGGGUAGCAAUACCUGAGUACAGUGGCGCACGGGUGAGUAACACGUGAAUAAUCUACCUCCGAGUGGGGAAUAACUGAGAGAAAUCUUAGCUAAUACCGCAUAAUACCCACGGGUCAAAGCAGCAAUGCGCUUGGAGAGGAGUUCGCGGCAGAUUAGUUAGUGGCGGGUAAUGGCCCACAAGACGAUGAUCU
rnacentral:rRNA from 1 species